AACCUGCCUCAUACUGGGGGAUAGCCCGGCGAAAGCUGGGGUAAACCCGCACGGUCCCAUGGAGUCACCUGGCAUUAUGGGUAAACAUUUAUGGGUAUGAGAGGGGCUUGCGUCUGAUUAGUUAGUUGGCAGGGUAACGGCCUACCAAGACGAUGAUCAGUAGGGGUUCUGAGAGGAUUGGCCCCCACAUGGGUACUGAGAUACGGACCCAACUCCCACGGGAGGCAGCAGUAGGGAAUAUUGGGCAAUGGACGCAAGUCUGACCCAGCCAUGCCGCGUGCAG
rnacentral:rRNA from 1 species